rnacentral:rRNA from 1 species
UACAGAGGGUGCAAGCGUUAAUCGGAAUUACUGGGCGUAAAGCGUGCGUAGACGGUUAUUUAAGUCUGGUGUGAAAGCCCCGGGCUCAACCUGGGAAUUGCAUUUGAGACUGAAUAGCUAGGGUGCGGAAGAGGGAAGCGGAAUUUCCGGUGUAGCGGUGAAAUGCGUAGAUAUCGGAAGGAACACCAGUGGCGAAAGCGGCUUCCUGGUCCAGCACCGACGCUGAGGCACGAAAGCUAGGGGAGCAAACAGG